GAUGAACGCUGGCGGCGUGCCUAAUACAUGCAAGUCGAGCGAACGGACGAGAAGCUUGCUUCUCUGAUGUUAGCGGCGGACGGGUGAGUAACACGUGGAUAACCUACCUAUAAGACUGGGAUACCUUCGGGAAACCGGCGCUUAUCCCGGAUAAUAUUUUGAUCCGCAUGGUUCAAAAGUGAAAGACGGUCUUGCUGUCACUUAUAGAUGGAUCCGCGCUGCAUUAGCUAGUUGGUAAGGUAACGGCUUACCAAGGCAACGAUGCAUAGCCGACCUGAGAGGGUGAUCGGCCACACUGGAACUGAGACACGGUCCAGACUCCUACGGGAGGCAGCAGUAGGGAAUCUUCCGCAAUGGGCGAAAGCCUGACGGAGCAACGCCGCGUGGGUGAUGAAGGUCUUCGGAUCGUAAAACUCUGUUAUUAGGGAAGAACAUAUGUGUAAGUAACUGUGCACAUCUUGACGGUACCUAAUCAGAAAGCCACGGCUAACUACGUG
rnacentral:rRNA from 1 species